ensembl:snRNA U6 U6 spliceosomal RNA
UUGCUUCGGCAGCAUAUAUACUAAAAUUGGAAUAAUGCAGAGAAGAUUAGCAUGGCCCCUGUGCAAGGAUGACAUGGAAACUCCUGAAGUGUUCCAAAUUUUU